GGCAGAGCGCCGGGCGCCUAUGGAGGGCAGGGCAGCCGCGCUGGCAGGCCCGGCCAGCCCGUUUGAGGGCAUCGCCGUCCUGCCGCUUCCCCCGCGCCUGCCUAUUGCCAUCUGCCAUUCAUGGAAGAACCGCGGACCUGGUCCAAGUGACUGCUGCAUAGGGAGCAGGGCCGACCGAGGGGGCCACCCCAUCCCCUUGGGGUGCCCGGCGCGGGACUGUAGGGCAUAGUCGCAACUCCACCGCGGCGCGGGGCAGGGAGGCCAGCAGGGCCCGCUGGGAGGGCAGGAGCUGCUGCGGGGCUGUACAAGUCGCCGCGGACCAGGGAUUGCUGCAGCUGGGAGGUUGCAACAGCAGAACUGACCAGGCGCGAGCUCAAAAUGUCCAUCUGCAUCCUCGGCUUCAGCUGCUGCAGACCGAAAAUCGGAUCUCCUCAUCUGAUCCCUGUUCUGGGCCAAUUUUCUGACCGAUCCUGCCAUGGCGCACAUGACAGACACCCCUGUAGGUUUGCAAGCUAAGUCACAAGCUUACCCAGGUGCCCAGUCUUUCGACACCUGACGCACAAGUUUAUAUCCCCCAUGUCACAGGAGAAACGCGGGUUAGUUCUCUCGAAGAAACGUUAUUGCUAGACUAACUUUAGGAGUCCUCCAUCAGCAGAUAAAGGCAUUUCUGUUGGUAUUGUGGCAGGGUUUCAAGCAGCAAAGGGCCCGCAACUCUCCGGGCUUUCGUUCCUAGGGCCUGUGAGACUAAAGUGGGGCAAGAAGCCACUGGUGUGUGCUUGGUUGCCCACCCAGGCUGGAGCCUGGUGUGCAGGGUCAGCGGGACCAGCACAGUGCCUCCUGGUGAGCCUCGGCGCUGCCCGCUCCCUGCAGUGCCAGCAUGCCGCCUGCAGUCCCCAGGAAUGCCCGUUCAUGGUUCCUGCUGAACUCAGUUGCAUCAAACGCUGCAGGUAUCACAGAUGGCUUAGUCCCUCUAGGCUGGGAUAAAUGCUGUAUAAACUGUGAGUGCUAACUUACCAGUCCCCUGUAACAUGAUAUUAUUCAAUGGUAUAUAGCAAUCUGUACCACUCAGGCUUUACAUUAGUUCCUUGCACAUAGGCUGCUGAGUAUGAAGUUCCCAGGAAGAGAUAAGAUGGAAGAAAACAUUCUAAAAAAAGGCACUUUGCUAUAGUGAUAAAUGUUCCAAAAUAAAUGCGUAAUGGAACAAGAAUAUACGGGGGUUUUUUAUGUACAGCUCAUGAAACAGCUUGAAAAGCCAAUUUUUUUUUUUUAAGACGAUUUUAGUCAGCACAUGAUUUAUACAGUAAAUCAAUGUAAAAUAGGAAUGAAUAGUUAUGGGCAGAUAUGAAGGUGAUGAUGCCUUCCUAAAUACACUUUUGAAAACUUAAGAAAUGACAAUUGAUAUAAAACUUAUUUGCUAAAUAGUUGUGAAGAGGUAGUAAACACAAAAUAGAUUUUUCUGUGUUGGAAUAAUGGCAAAACCCGUACAUUUUAAAAAAAUAAAUCUUCAGUUCAUGCUUUGGCCACCACAGGCUGGCAUUAUGAAACUGAAUAUUUGACUUGCCUCGGGAUUGCUUACAGGGCGUUUGCGUUUCCUACUAGUUAAUUGAUGAUGACAUAAUGUGUAAAUCUUUCAGAACAUCUGAGGUGAUCUAAAGGAGGGUGUCUUAGAUGUGAAAUUCUGAUGAAACCACAAGAAUUUUUUUAGGGUUUGGGACUUCUCUUUUUAGCUCAUGAAGGUAAUGGAGACCUGUUCUGAACUAGAAGAGAGAUUUUUAGCAGAGAUUACUAAAAUGAAUGAAACAGUACAGUGUAGUACAUGAACUUGUAGAAAAUAACCAGACCUCUGAGGAACUGUAAAAAAAGGCAGAACAAAGUUAUUUGAUUUAUUGCCCAGAAAAUAAAAAAAGAAGAAGGUAAUUUUGUGAUACAUCACCUCUAUAUUUUCUGGGUUUGAAUGAUGCAUAUUUACUUAUUUAUUAUCACAAAAAAAGAAUAAUUUGGCUAGUAGUUGUGAACCCUUAGAAUAUGCUUAUUUGCAAUACUUAGCAAUGAUACAUGGAAAGUAAAAAUCAUGUGCAUAAAUUAUUCUACUGCUUUGUGAAAUAGAGAGGCCAUAUAAUCUGCAGCUGUAAUCAGACAGCUUUAGAACAAAUACUCAAAGACUUGUAAAGAUCUUUUCUAGGCAUUGUUAGAAGAUCUGCAAAGGGUAAUUCUGAAGUCCUGCAUUUUCAGAAAAGUCUGUUAUUACUAAUCUAUUGUUGAUACAAUAUAACUGGGCUUUGGUGGAAUGAUUCUAUUGCAUUCAGUUGUAUAGCUUCCAAAAAAACCAAAUUUCCACUUACAAGUCAGACUUGUUUAAAGUAGAAGUUAAGUACAAUACUGUAGGACCAAGGUCUGCUUCGUUUACUACUGCAACUGGAGUUUUUGCUGCUACUUGAUGAAGACAUCAGUAGUUAUUUGCACAAAUAAAAAAGUGGCUUUUGGGUCCCAGAAUUUGAGAAACAUAUCAAAAUUGAAUUAAUAAAGUGGGGUUUGAAAACAAAUUUGCAUUUUACUCAAAAGAAUGCUGUUUUCAAAUUAUGUGGAAUAUAUUCUAUGAGAAAAUGUUUCCUUUCAUUUACCUAGUGGAAUAGCUCUUGUGUAGUGUCACUGCUCUUAAAAAGUUCUGCCAUAUGACAGUGGACAAAAGACAGUGCACCAUCUCUCAAACUGCUUGCCCCAAGACAUUCUGCUGUACUGCCACAGCAGCUCAAACAAUAAAAUCCACCAAAGCUGCCUUUCAUCUUGGGGUAGUACUGGCUAGUUUGUGCAGGAGGCCUGCAAUGGCUCAGUGUUUCUUUUUCACCCUUUUCUGCCUAGAAAGUUGAAAAUAAUGAUAAUGAAUUAGUAUAACUGGAGGAACCUGUCAGAGGAUUGAAAAAAGCAAUGCAGUAUCCCUAAUGAUCUGGAAUGGUUAAUUAAGUUCUCUUAUAAAUGAGUUCCAAAAAUAACUUACUUUCAGUAAGUUAUUCUGAGAAACAGUCAUUUUAGCAUACCUGAGCUGCAGUGCCUCUUAGCAAAGGGCCAAUUAUCCGGUGAUUGGCAGUUAAAGGUGAACUAAUGAAGUUCUUAAUUAAAAGAUUUCCUAUUAUAAUCACCAGUAAGUAACAGAAUACUGCAUACAUAAAGCAGAUAUAACGUUAGAAGAAUAUUUCCAUUUUGAAACAAAGGUUUUGAAAAUCGUCUCUGCCUUUGCUUGCCAGGUCCGGAACAGGAAUGUUGGAGUUUUCACGGGUGUAGCUGGCAGUGUGCCACUACUGGCCUUUAUUAGGGUGUCCUGCUCUGACUCUCCUACAGUCAAAAGGUCUCAUCCUCUCAAGAAGUGAAGCAUCUCUGUUGCACUUAAGAAGACGAGGCAAUAGAGCCCAAAAAUACUGAGACAGCACCAGUGAUCUGAAUCUUGAUAUUUUAUUCUCUGGUCAAUAACUUGUUGAUCACUGCUUGAUCAUUCCUGCUACUUCAGUUGCUCUUUGUUUCAGUUUCUCUAUAUAAAGCGACAUAGCUAUGCCUUGCAGUAUUUUGAGAAUUAUGGGAGUUUACAACUGAGUAAGAUACAAAACAUAAUUGUAGGAAAAGGACAAGUCAUCAGGGUGCUUUUCCCUCCUCAGACAUCUUGCUCUUUUCUUUUUUGACCACUCUUUAUGUGGGAGAACAUUUAUUUCUAUCUUGGACAUUGGACCUUGUCUCUCAAGAUUCAAGGUGUUACAAACAAACAUAUUCCACCUGUUACAACAAUCUGGCAUAUUACUUCCUUGAUACGUGAUGAUACAAUACCUCUCAGGUUUGCUGAGUAGCAAAGAGAAAUGUAAGCAAAUGAAAAGGUUUUCCACUUUCACAGUUUUUUUCUGCUUGGGGUUCUGUUUGUCUGAGAACCGUAUGAAUAGAAGCCAUAUUUUAUAGUAUUUCUUUAACCUCUGCCAUCUGGUGUAGGUUAGUUUUUCCACUGCCAACUUAUCCUAGAGGCCCCUGUACCAAAAUGUUUAAUUUCUAAGUAAACAUUUGGACCUUAUAAAUCCAGUUUAAAAAAAUAGAGCAUUAUUUUUUUAAACUUUGUACUACAUUUGCCACCACUGAUGACAUUAAUAAACACACAGCCAGGUAUAUGGGUUUAAAGGCUUGUGGCCACGACUGUUCUGUAGCUGACCUCCAGAGAUGUUAGGUCACCUGACAUCUUUAAUCACAGAGUCAUGCUCAGUUAUCAGGAAGGGACUUGAAUAUUCCCUACAGACCUAAAGCCUGAAGUUGUGUCAAGGGAUUUGCACCACCACAGCCAAAACUUUCCAAAUCACAUAUGGUUUCAGGCAAGUAACACUCACCCAUGCCAAAGCCAGAGCUUUAGCUUUAAUUUUUUUUUUUUAAUUGAAACCAAAGUUAUUUCACUGCAAGAGUGGAUUGUUGCUAUAAAAUAAUUUAGGCAAGUAACUAACCACUUAAGAAAACCAAAGAGUAUAAUAGCCAUAUCUCUAGCAACUUCUUAUGUCUGAGGAAGAAAAAAAACCACAAAAAUCAUGUGCCCGAAUUCUACUAUCAAGAGUAUAAAGUCCUUUUUAAACUUAAAGAAUAUAAUGUUUCACUUUGUACUAGGUAGCAAAUUAUGAGAUUUCAGUUUGAAAAAAUACAGGGCUGUUGAUUUUCCCAAGCUGAUCUUUAGUCAGAGUGAAAAAUUGAAAAUAUCCUUGCUUGUGCUGAGCAUGGCCAGGCAAACUGAAUUAUCUCAAUCAGUGUUCUUCAGAUGCAGACAGUCACCAGGUAAAGGACCCAUGGAUGAUACUGCUGCACAGAUUAUAGAGAACAUUUAAAGUUGUGUAUAGGCAAGCUCUGAAGGGUAAAGAAAAGAUAAAUAACUACUAUCUUGUUUCUUAAUUUUGAUUUAGGGAGAGAUCUGGAAAAACCUUAGGAAUUUCCACUUCUUUAAAUGCCCACCUCAUUAAAUUUUUGUGUGGAUGCAUGGUUUUCCCUAAAUUCCUAAAGGAUAUAGAAGGUUUGCCACCUUCACCUGAUGAACUUCCUAAUCCUAUGAGUAUUCAGAAACAUGUUUCUGGCAUGAAAUGAAUUUUUAAUGAAAAUUCAGUAAAGGUCUUCACUUAGUGUUUAUUGAGUUUCAAAUGAAACAAGUCUUAAAGAACAGUAAAUUAAUUAACAAGUGGCUCUUUUUUGAGCACUGAACUCUGAGCUGCUGUGCAAAAGUUAUGCCCAUUUAAAUGAAUUUAGAAUUUGAUUAGUUUGAUCAGUGUGAUUAGGUAAUGAAGACUCAUGGUAUUUGUUGAAUUCAAAUUAUACUUGUCCAGAGGAUAAUUCUUUUUGCUGGACAGUAUGGAUGAAGAGGUGAGGUAUCACCUUUCAGCCAAUCUGGAGUGUGAAAUUCUGUGUUACUUUGCAAGACCACUAAUUGCACUUAUUUUAUUAUGCUGAGUUAUAAACAAGAGCAUGUGGGGAGUGAACAUCCUCUCUCUGACACAGGGAUAGUGACUUCUUCUGCCUGGAUGGACACCUGGUUAAAUUUCCUCAGUAUGAAUCAUCAGAACAGAUAAAUCAGUGCCACACUGUGAUCUUUUUAGUCAUCAGUAAAACUUGUUCAGUUUAAUUUGGUAAUUUUCUAAUUCUAGCUUACUUUGAGCUGGAAUAUGAAAAAUAUUUAUAUUUUUUCAUUGUGGUUCUUAAACCUACCUGCAUUGGAAUGGCAGCUUAGACAUGCCCUGAAAGAUUUACCCCAGUAUUUCAUUGUAGCCAUUGAUUAGCCCUGCAAACCAGCACUCACAUUUGUGUUGUGCCUGAAGUCACCCUUUCCCUUCAGCACCUUUUACCAGUCAGCUCAUUCUCUUCACUUCUGAUUCUCAAUGAACUCUACCCUGGAUGUUCUGUGCUUGCCUAGGCAUUUUAAGAGUGGAUUUAGCCUUAGCAAACCAAACCAUCUUUUUUAUCUUCCCUCAUCCUCCACAGCCUUUCCUGUUAAUUUUUGGUCAAUGUAAGAAUUUUUCAAAGGACUGGAGAUCACAAUAUUCAUGGAGGUUUUUUGAACAUAAACACCUGUGUGAGAAGGAAAAGAAUCAAAGUCAGAGCUCCAGCAAAGAAAAGACUAGAGUUGGUCAUUGCAUGUUUGGUCAUUCAGUAAACAUGCAGCACAGCCUGGCACAACACUGGUGCCGUUUUUCAUAUCAGUAGUAAAAAUAUAUAGGAAGAAUCUGGGAGUAAUUUUUGUUAAAUUUUAUCUUUUGUCACUUCUGUCUUAAACUGGGUGUAAAAUUGGUCCUAACUUGCAAUCUCUCCCAGAACAGAUAGGAGGGGAGGAACCUCAGACUAAAUUCCAGCACUGGGAACUGAUACCCAAGUCCUGGGGGAUGGGUUCUGGGCUCUGACUGUUUUCUCUGUAUUUCCUAUUUAAUAGCAACCUUCUCUUUUUUUCACUAACAUAAAUCCAAUUCAGAUUUGUCUGCAGCCAGUCUGCCUGCCAAGUGUGGGCUUGGGGUUUCACUUGGCAGCCCCUUGCCAUGCUGGAUACUUUGUGAUGCCAUUGUGAGGCUUUAAGUGUUUUUGAUAUGAUUGCCCUGAAAUCAGUCCAAUAAGGAAGAAACUCUCAUAUUUAAAUUCUCCAUAGAAGUGAAUAUACCUACAGAAUCAGAGUGGUGGUGAAGUAUGUAGAUUUUUAUCAGGUGUAAAUUAGUUUCAUGAUUUAGAUUUUUAUGUUUGCUGAGUACCCAAAUUCUGCCCCAAUAAUUACUGGGGUUUUUUUAAUGUGAUAUGCAUAUAGCGUUUAUAUAUUCCCUAUUUUUAUUAGGUAACAAGCAUGGAGAAAAAGAAGAGGUACUCUUAAUAUUUUAUAUAACAUGUAUCCAUCCAGGAACAAUGAAUAAUAAACAGUCUCUGGAUGUUGGCAGAAGUUUAAUUCAAGGUCCAUCAUGAACUGCAUAGUUUUGGUUUUGUGUAAUAAGUAGUCAAAUAACAUUCAGAAACUAAAAGUGUAUUUUUCUAUAAUACACAUUUUCAAGCAGGUUUCUUGGCAUGCAUUUUGUUUGUACUGUGCUUGAAGUUGUUUAUGGCAUUAGUGGUUAGUGUGUUUGUGCAUGUUUGCAUUCUGUCUGUUUAUGAAGUAUUUCACUGGUACCCUUACACAGCAUGUGGUCGGUCGAAGAUUAUUUUUGAUAGUGUGUGUAGUCAUGCAUAAAGACUUUAAAGUAAAGUGGGUUAAACCCUGGUUAUCUGCAGUUAUGUAAAGACAGACUUAUAGGUUGUACAUCUUCACAUAACUUAGAUACAAAAAGUACUGCACCAUUUUAAAGAUGAAAGAGUGAGUUGGUGCCAAUUUGUCCAACAAUUGUGGUAAUUCGAGUUGCAGAAAGAUAGGCCAAUUCUAUUAAUAACUGGAACAUUUGUAUAUUUUUAUUAUCAUAGAUGUCAAAAAUAAUUAACAGAUGACUCAUUAUAUUAUAAUAAUAACAUGUGUGUAACUAAUUAUUGAAAUGAACUACGGAAGCAAAACCAAACCUCUAACAGGGAUAAUUUAAGUCGCUUCAGUCUCUAAUUGACAGCUAAGUAUAGGCAAUACUUUCAGGACCCAGACACAGGGCUGUGAAAUUAAUAUGUGAAUUACACUGAGCUUAGAGUGUUAGUUGAUACUUUUCAUGGUGUUUUGAAAGUAUGGGUUGUUCAGCAUGUAUCUAAUGACAUUACAGAAGUAUUAUUUGCAAAAAAUGUAGAUGCUGAGCAACUACAGUGUCAAAUAAGUGUCUCUAGACACUUACAGACAUCAGUUCUGUAAGGAUUUUGUGAACAUUACAAAAUAAAAUAUUAUUGCUUUAUUUAGAUGCCUAACAGCAAUUUUAGAGCACUAUUCUUCCUGUGAAUCUUGAAACUUAAGGGAAACAGAGCUGACCAAUAAUUAGUUCUUAUGAAAAUUCCUCUUCUAAGUACUAUUUCAUUACUAUUGUUAAUAAAGUUCUUUAUGGUAGGAAACUCCAUUAUGUCAGCUCCGAUUUGGUUACUUUUGGGCCAAUUUACAUUUUCUCCAUUGUGCUUCUUAAACUUUCUUUCAUUGGAGUGGAGAAUUUUUUUCAUACAGGACUCUUUUUUUCCCCACUAGAGUAAUAUUAGACAAUUUUGUAACACUUCUUUUACAUUUCUCAAGUGUGCA